rnacentral:rRNA from 1 species
GACAGAGGGUGCAAACGUUGCUCGGAAUCACUGGGCGUAAAGGGCGUGUAGGCGGGAAGGAAAGUCAGAUGUGAAAUCCCUGGGCUCAACCCAGGAACUGCAUUUGAUACUGGCAAUCUAGAGUCCGGAAGAGGUGAGUGGAACUCCUAGUGUAGAGGUGGAAUUCGUAGAUAUUAGGAAGAACACCAGUGGCGAAGGCGGCUCACUGGUCCGGUACUGACGCUGAGGUGCGAAAGCGUGGGGAGCAAACAGG